rnacentral:rRNA from 1 species
AGUGAACGCUGGCGGCAGGCCUAACACAUACAAGUCGAACGGCAGCACAGUGGAGCUUGCUCCAUGGGUGGCGAGUGGCGGACGGGUGAGGAAUACAUCGGAAUCUGCCCAGUCGUGGGGGAUAACAUAGGGAAACUUAUGCUAAUACCGCAUACGACCUACGGGAGAAAGCGGGGGAUCGCAAGACUUCGCGCGAUUGGAUGAGCCGAUGUGCGAGUAGCUAGUUGGCGGGGUAAUGGCCCACCAAGGCGGCGAUCGGUAGCUGGUGUGAGGGGAUGAUCGACGACACGGGAACUGAGCCACCGUCCAGACUCCGACGGGAGGCAGCAGACGGGAAUAGUGGGCAAUGGGCGGAAGCCUGCUCCAGCCAUGCCGCGUGGGUGAAGGAGACCUUCGGGGCGUAAAGCCGUUUUGUCCGGAAAGACACGCCUCGGAUUAAUAAUCUGGGGUAAUGACGGUACCGGAAGAAGAAGCACCGGCUAACUUCGUGCCAGCCGCCGCGGUAAAAC